UACGGAGGGUGCAAGCGUUAUUCGGAAUUACUAGGUGUAAAGGGCGUGUAGGCGGUUUAGUAAGUUAGAUGUGAAAACUCAUGGCUCAACUGUGAGCGUGCAUCUAAAACUAUUAGACUUGAGUAUGGAAGGGGAAAACGGAAUUUCUAGUGUAGCGGUGGAAUGUGUAGAUACUAGAAGGAACACCGAUGGCGAAAGCGGUUUUCUGGUCCAAUACUGACGCUAAGGCGCGAAAGCUAGGGGAGCAAACAGG
rnacentral:rRNA from 1 species